UCCCCAUCUUCAAGUCAAGGACCUUUACCUUUUUCCAUGCAUUGGUUCUGUUACAAGAUGGGGAGAGCAAAAGCGUCUCGCUUGCCCAAAGCCGUCUUGGCCGCGGGUAGACUGGCCUCCGUUUUGGUUGCCGGUCAACAGAGUUCGCGCGUGAUUCGUUUGAGUUGAGGACUGUCUCUGCACCAGCAGCAUCGUGGCGGUUCUCUUAGUAAUAUUUCACACAUCU
rnacentral:snoRNA from 1 species